AGGGAGGUAGUGACAAGAAAUAACGACACUGAGCUUGCUCAGUGAUUGGAAUGAGCACAAUGUAAAAGCGUUGUCGAGGACCCACUGGAGGGCAAGUCUGGUGCCAGCAGCCGCGGUAAUUCCAGCUCCAAUAGCGUAUACUAAAGUUGUUGCAGUUAAAAAGCUCGUAGAAUGUCUGG
rnacentral:rRNA from 1 species